ACACGUGGGCAAUCUGCCCUUCACUCUGGGACAAGCCCUGGAAACGGGGUCUAAUACCGGAUACGACCACUUCGGGCAUCCGAUGGUGGUGGAAAGCUCCGGCGGUGAAGGAUGAGCCCGCGGCCUAUCAGCUUGUUGGUGGGGUAAUGGCCCACCAAGGCGACGACGGGUAGCCGGCCUGAGAGGGCGACCGGCCACACUGGGACUGAGACACGGCCCAGACUCCUACGGGAGGCAGCAGUGGGGAAUAUUGCACAAUGGGCGAAAGCCUGAUGCAGCGACGCCGCGUGAGGGAUGACGGCCUUCGGGUUGUAAACCUCUUUCAGCAGGGAAGAAGCGCAAGUGACGGUACCUGCAGAAGAAGCGCCGGCUAACUACGUGCCAGCAGCCGCGGUAAUACGUAGGGCGCAAGCGUUGUCCGGAAUUAUUGGGCGUAAAGAGCUCGUAGGCGGCUUGUCGCGUCGGAUGUGAAAGCCCGGGGCUUAACCCCGGGUCUGCAUUCGAUACGGGCAGGCUAGAGUGUGGUAGGGGAGAUCGGAAUUCCUGGUGUAGCGGUGAAAUGCGCAGA
rnacentral:rRNA from 1 species